rnacentral:rRNA from 1 species
AACGAACGCUGGCGGCAUGCCUAACACAUGCAAGUCGAACGAGACCUUUGGGUCUAGUGGCGCACGGGUGCGUAACGCGUGGGAACCUGCCCUUAGGUUCGGAAUAACUCCCCGAAAGGGGUGCUAAUACCGGAUAAUGUCUCCGGACCAAAGAUUUAUCGCCUUUGGAUGGGCCCGCGUUGGAUUAGCUAGUUGGUAGGGUAAAAGCCUACCAAGGCGACGAUCCAUAGCUGGUCUGAGAGGAUGAUCAGCCACACUGGGACUGAGACACGGCCCAGACUGCUACGGGAGGCAGCAGUGGGGAAUAUUGGACAAUGGGCGAAAGCCUGAUCCAGCAAUGCCGCGUGAGUGAUGAAGGCCUUAGGGUUGUAAAGCUCUUUUACCCGGGAUGAUAAUGACAGUACCGGGAGAAUAAGCUCCGGCUAACUCCGUG